AACGAACGCUGGCGGCAUGCCUAACACAUGCAAGUCGAACGAGAUCUUCGGGUCUAGUGGCGCACGGGUGCGUAACGCGUGGGAAUCUGCCCUUUGGUUCGGAAUAACAGUUGGAAACGACUGCUAAUACCGGAUGAUGACGAAAGUCCAAAGAUUUAUCGCCUGAGGAUGAGCCCGCGUAGGAUUAGCUAGUUGGUGUGGUAAAGGCGCACCAAGGCGACGAUCCUUAGCUGGUCUGAGAGGAUGAUCAGCCACACUGGGACUGAGACACGGCCCAGACUCCUACGGGAGGCAGCAGUGGGGAAUAUUGGACAAUGGGCGAAAGCCUGAUCCAGCAAUGCCGCGUGAGUGAUGAAGGCCUCAGGGUCGUAAAGCUCUUUUACCCGGGAUGAUAAUGACAGUACCGGGAGAAUAAGCUCCGGCUAACUCCGUGCCAGCCGCCGCAGUAACAC
rnacentral:rRNA from 1 species